GACGAACGCUGGCGGCGUGCUUAACACAUGCAAGUCGAACGAUGAAGCCUAGCUUGCUAGGUGGAUUAGUGGCGAACGGGUGAGUAAUACGUGAGUGACCUACCUUUGACUCUGGGAUAAGCCUGGGAAACUGGGUCUAAUACCGGAUACGACCAAUCUCCGCAUGGGGUGUUGGUGGAAAGCGUUAUGGAGUGGUUUUAGAUGGGCUCACGGCCUAUCAGCUUGUUGGUGAGGUAAUGGCUUACCAAGGCGACGACGGGUAGCCGGCCUGAGAGGGUGACCGGCCACACUGGGACUGAGACACGGCCCAGACUCCUACGGGAGGCAGCAGUGGGGAAUAUUGCACAAUGGGCGCAAGCCUGAUGCAGCGACGCCGCGUGAGGGAUGAUGGCCUUCGGGUUGUAAACCUCUGUUAGCAUCGAAGAAGCGAAAGUGACGGUAGGUGCAGAGAAAGCGCCGGCUAACUACGUGCCAGCAGCCGCGGUAAUACGUAGGGCGCGAGCGUUGUCCGGAAUUAUUGGGCGUAAAGAGCUUGUAGGCGGUUGGUCGCGUCUGCUGUGAAGGCUGGGGCUUAACCCUGGUUUUGCAGUGGGUACGGGCUAACUAGAGUGCAGUAGGGGAGACUGGAAUUCCUGGUGUAGCGGUGGAAUGCGCAGAUAUCAGGAGGAACACCGAUGGCGAAGGCAGGUCUCUGGGCUGUAACUGACGCUGAGAAGCGAAAGCAUGGGGAGCGAACAGGAUUAGAUACCCUGGUAGUCCAUGCCGUAAACGUUGGGCACUAGGUGUGGGGGACAUUCCACGUUUUCCGCGCCGUAGCUAACGCAUUAAGUGCCCCGCCUGGGGAGUACGGCCGCAAGGCUAAAACUCAAAGAAAUUGACGGGGGCCCGCACAAGCGGCGGAGCAUGCGGAUUAAUUCGAUGCAACGCGAAGAACCUUACCAAGGCUUGACAUAUACUGGACUGCGUCAGAGAUGGCGUUUCCCUUCGGGGCUGGUAUACAGGUGGUGCAUGGUUGUCGUCAGCUCGUGUCGUGAGAUGUUGGGUUAAGUCCCGCAACGAGCGCAACCCUCGUUCUAUGUUGCCAGCACGUGAUGGUGGGGACUCAUAGGAGACUGCCGGGGUUAACUCGGAGGAAGGUGGGGAUGACGUCAAAUCAUCAUGCCCCUUAUGUCUUGGGCUUCACGUAUGCUACAAUGGCCGGUACAGAGGGUUGCGAUACUGUGAGGUGGAGCUAAUCCCUAAAAGCCGGUCUCAGUUCGGAUUGGGGUCUGCAACUCGACCCCAUGAAGUCGGAGUCGCUAGUAAUCGCAGAUCAGCAACGCUGCGGUGAAUACGUUCCCGGGCCU
rnacentral:rRNA from 1 species